rnacentral:lncRNA from 1 species
CUGCGCGUGAGGGGAGGGGCUGAGCGGAAUGGCGCGCGGCGGGCUGAGGGAGCGGCCGUAUCGAUUUUGUGGUGUUUUGCGCGCUGAGUCGAAAUAAAAGUAAAUCCUCUGAAUAUUCAGAUGUCCAUUUCCCGAAUACCAGCACCCGAUUCCUGAUCGAGACUAACCCCCACGUCAGGUACCAUUGUGCUGAAGGGUAAUGGGGCCGUGAGCUGCCAGCUGUGAUCAGACCCUGCACACCCAUCCCACCCCAGGAGAAAGCACCGUGGGCACCACUCAUGCCACUGUGCCACAUCCAUGGGUGACCUCAAGUCCCAUGGUGCCCAGCCUGAACCGUGGCAAAGCCCUGGGUUCAAAGCUCCCUGGGUGCUUUCCCUGGAAAAAACAAGGAGCAAACACCCCAGUAUGCCUCUGUGUGCUUGCAGCUAUGGAUACAUAUGUUCUAUACAGAGUUACGUCCUUUUGGCACCUGGGAUUCCUGCCAUCGCUGCAAUAUGAGCUCUGUCUGAAACUGCAUCCUCAGCCGUGCUGCCUCCACUGCCCUGCGUGUAGGUAUGUGUACACAGGCUAAUGUUCAUCCCCAAACCUCCCCUGAAUGUGUUCAUUGCUGCAACCCCAUGGUAUUCCCCAAUCCUGCCAAAUUUUUGCAAAUCCAAGUUUAUAGCCCAGCCCCGAGGAGGAGGCUGCCUUUAGCCCAGCAAACCUCUGACUGACAACGGGGGGCUUUGUAACAAGCCUACCAGCUUUGCCUUUGCCACCCACCCGUGCGUAGCAAAGAGCUGUUUCUAGGUAAAAAAAAAAAGAAGAAGUUGCUUGCUGAGUCUAUAAUGAGGAUUCUCAAAUGCCGAAGACGUGGAGAGCAGGUUAAAGGAGCAGAGCCUCGCUGCCCAGAAGAGGGAGGGAACGGAUGCAGCCACUCCGGCGCAUUUGCAGAGUGUUAUUGCAGCACGAAGCAUCGCUCUGUGAGCAAAUGCUCCCUUCGCAGCGCUGCAUUCCCCGGGGAAGCUUUAAUAAUUCCUAGGGAGGCUCUGAAGGCUAAUAAAAAAGUGAAUAAAGAAGUCAGCCCCAGCAAUCGGUCUCCUCCUCCUUCCCAGGGAGCCUUAAGCUGCCCUUGUUUGUCUGGCUGCUCAGGUGCAGCUCUGAUUUCCCCAGUUCCUAAAGAAGAAGGAAUUCAGCAGCACGGCAGCCUGCUUUGCUGCGAUGGAUGGUAAUUGUUAAUCUGAUUAAGCUCAAGGUCUCCCAUUUU